rnacentral:rRNA from 1 species
AUUGAACGCUGGCGGCAUGCCUUACACAUGCAAGUCGAACGGCAGCGCGGGAGCAAUCCUGGCGGCGAGUGGCGAACGGGUGAGUAAUACAUCGGAACGUGCCCAAUCGUGGGGGAUAACGCAGCGAAAGCUGUGCUAAUACCGCAUACGAUCUACGGAUGAAAGCAGGGGAUCGCAAGACCUUGCGCGAAUGGAGCGGCCGAUGGCCGAUUAGGUAGUUGGUGAGGUAAAGGCUCACCAAGCCUUCGAUCUGUAGCUGGUCUGAGAGGACGACCAGCCACACUGGGACUGAGACACGGCCCAGACUCCUACGGGAGGCAGCAGUGGGGAAUUUUGGACAAUGGGCGAAAGCCUGAUCCAGCCAUGCCGCGUGCAGGAUGAAGGCCUUCGGGUUGUAAACUGCUUUUGUACGGAACGAAACGGUCUUUUCUAAUAAAGAAGGCUAAUGACGGUACCGUAAGAAUAAGCACCGGCUAACUACGUG